CUUAGUGGCGAACGGGUGAGUAACGCGUAAUCAACCUGCCCUUCAGAGGGGGACAACAGUUGGAAACGACUGCUAAUACCGCAUAAGCCCACGAUCCGGCAUCGGAUUGAGGGAAAAGGAUUUAUUCGCUUCAGGAUGGACUCGCGUCCAAUUAGCUAGUUGGUGAGGUAACGGCCCACCAAGGCGACGAUUGGUAGCCGGACUGAGAGGUUGAACGGCCACAUUGGGACUGAGACACGGCCCAGACUCCUACGGGAGGCAGCAUG
rnacentral:rRNA from 1 species